rnacentral:rRNA from 1 species
GACGAACGCUGGCGGCGUGCCUAAUACAUGCAAGUCGAGCGAGCGAAACUAACAGAUUUACUUCGGUAAUGACGUUAGGAAAGCGAGCGGCGGAUGGGUGAGUAACACGUGGGGAACCUGCCCCAUAGUCUGGGAUACCACUUGGAAACAGGUGCUAAUACCGGAUAAGAAAGUAGAUCGCAUGAUCAGCUUUUAAAAGGCGGCGUAAGCUGUCGCUAUGGGAUGGCCCCGCGGUGCAUUAGCUAGUUGGUAAGGUAAAGGCUUACCAAGGCGAUGAUGCAUAGCCGAGUUGAGAGACUGAUCGGCCACAUUGGGACUGAGACACGGCCCAAACUCCUACGGGAGGCAGCAGUAGGGAAUCUUCCACAAUGGACGCAAGUCUGAUGGAGCAACGCCGCGUGAGUGAAGAAGGUUUUCGGAUCGUAAAGCUCUGUUGUUGGUGAAGAAGGAUAGAGGUAGUAACUGGCCUUUAUUUGACGGUAAUCAACCAGAAAGUCACGGCUAACUACGUG